rnacentral:misc_RNA from 1 species
GAGUUCAUGCCCUUACGGGUAGAUCUCCCACCCUUGUGUAUAUAUCAUAUGUUGCUUUGGCGGGUGCAAGCCCGCCAGAGGACCCAAACUCUGAGUUUAGUGUCGUCUGAGUACUAUAAAAUAGUUAAAACUUUCAACAACGGAUCUCUUGGUUCU